UUUCCCCCGUUUUAUUUUCCGGCAAACGAGUAUACACGGAGGAAAUUGGUGUUAAUUUAUUUCCGAAACGCGCGUUUGAUUCGAUCGUAAUGUUUAUUUUUUUUUUUUUUUUUUUUUUUGUACACAAAGAAAACUUGCCUACAUAUAACUAAUAAAAAACGAUCAUUAUAAAUACGAAAUUAUUGAAAUCGAAACGGGAUAAUAAAUUAUAAUAUGUUCGAUGUCGUGUACGUAAUAAUAGUUGCCAUAUGGAGUGUAUAUUAUAUUGGCUUAUUUCCCGGUUUUAAUACGCACGAUGUUCAUUUGCCCUCG